GGAUGGGCCAGGUGGUUUACACUAUGGAAGAGCCAGAGGGGAGUUCUGACAAUAAAGGAAGACAAUGGGGAACGGGGAUCCCAUGGGAAAAAUGGAAUGGGAAAGCCCUAGGUGGGAGACACCAUGCAAAAAUGAGAGAGGCAAUAGGAACCUGUCUCCUGCUGGGAGGUGGAAAAAGAGAGAGACCAGCUUUGGAAAGGGGGAUGAUGCUCCAGGCAAAAUGAAGCAUUGAAACCUUGGAAAACCAUCCAGCUGAACAGCCAUUCUCAACUCUUUACUUUCGUCACAGCAUAAGGAAAGAGGCAUAAAGGCAUUUCCUGAAAAUGCCACCAACGGCUUAUUUCUCUGGGAAAACUGACCACACAUCACUGAAAAGCACUAGAAAAAAAAAUGUCGAAAAGUUUGCUCAAGUCUCACAGUGCCGAUGUUUAUAUCAUCUGUCAACAUAAGGACAACCAAAAAUGAUGAAGAAAUGAAAGCUUCAAGAAAAUACAAGUUCUAAAUUUUGUGAUUUCUGAUGUGGUUCAUGGUUGGAAUUUAAACAAACAUUUCCCCUCAAAGGAGACUAUUUUUAUUUUAAGAAAUAAUAUCUAAAUUACAAGACCUUCCUUGGCGAUUUCUUACUUAUUUUUUGAAUAGCUCUGUAUGGAACAGCAUAAGAAAAUUCCUGCAAAACACAGGUGUUAAUGUUCUUUUAU
rnacentral:lncRNA from 1 species